GGCGCGGAUCCGGGGCCAAACCCUCCAGGGCUGCGCUGCAGACAGCGACGGCCAGAGGCGGAUACAGUCGGGUUUAGGGACCGCAGGAGCGAAUUCCCGGAGGCCUGCAGGAGCCGCCCCGCGCCGCGUCCAGCCUUUCUCUCUGGGCCUAGCGGGUCUCCCCCAGGCGCGCCCCUCCCUCCCCACAGGCGCACUUUCUCCACCUGCAUCUGGGGCGAGGCGCGGCUGGGAGCGAAGCACAAGUGGGCUGGGCGAGGUUUGGGGUUCGAGGAUUGCAGAGUGACCGCGGGGUCUGGGGAAGAGUUGUCUUGGUGGCGCCACCAGAGCCCGACCCGCCGCGGCCGGGACCCUGCAGGGCAGGUAGCGACCUGCGGAGAAGCCGCCUGGCGCGGCCGACUCGGCUGCCGGGGCGUGGGCCUGGGCCGGGCGCAGGAGCAGCGGGGAUGCUGGGUGCGCUCCGAGGGUGCGGCCUCCCGGCUGUGCGGGGCUCAGAGCCGGGUGCUGGGCGCGGGGCCUGGCAAAGAAAUCGUUCGACACAGCCGGAAUCCCAGGAAAAUCUACCUUUCUGGAGACUGCAGCUCCUGUGAUAGCUCAACAGACUUCAGUUCCUCACAAAUAUUGCUCUCUACGGUUUCCCCCAAAACACUUCAGGAAAUACAGUGUCCUGUCUUCACAAAUGCUUCUGGUAAGCAGGGCUGUGAUCAUGGUGGUAGGGGGAAUCUUUCUCUGGUUUCAUUUGAAUAUAUGUGUGUGCCUAGAGUGAACACAUGCCUUUGAUCUCAGUUGGUUUUCUUUUUUUUGAAAUUAAGUGUUUAAAGCCAUUCUUCUCUUGGUAAAAUAUUUUCUUCAUACCUACCCUAAAUCCACCUCCUACUCCCAAUGCAAAUAUAUAUCCUUAUUCAAAAAGACUGUACAGAAAAAAAACUGUACACAUUUCAGAGAUUUCAAGUCAGUCAGGGGUCCUGAUGAGAGGAAGUCACUGAAGGAUCAAAACAAAUAUGCGAAGCUCAAUUUUCACACAGGAACAGAGUAAGGAAAUGAUCUUGAGUGAAAGUAUUGCUGACUUAGCUCAUGGGACUAUAUGUAACUUAUGAUCAAACAUCAGUGAUCCAGAAAGGUAUGCAAUAAAAAAUGCAAUUGUUUUUUUUCAUUGCUCCCUGUUUCUAGCCUUGCUCUUAAAGGGGGACUAUUUUAAGCUCUUCAUUUUUAAAAAGCAUUUUUAUCCUUAUCUCCUUAUAGGGCUCUUUAUUCAUGUGGCCAAUACUUGACUGGCCUAUGACCAUCCUCCCUUCUUCUCAUCUGUAGAAUCCAGCUUUUGUUUGUUGUGUAGUGUACCUAGCUUUUUUUUUUUUAAAAAAAACUACAUUUCCCAGUGACCUUUGUAUGGUCAUGUGAUAGCCAUUUGUCCAAUAAGAUACAAGUGAAAGUUAAAGGACGGGGCUUCUGCAGAAGCCUAGUGUCCCGGAUGGAAUCCAAGAUGGUGGGACAGCAAAUGUCUGCACUGCUGGAAUGGCCACCUCUCAGUGUCACAGCUUGUGAGAAGGCCUCGACUUCCAGCUGGGUUCUCACUAGUUAUAGUGCAAACUUGUGUGAACAGCUGAGGCAACUUCUGUGUUCUUGGUCUUUCAGCUUCCUUCAUUAACAAAAAGUUUCCUUAGUUGGGUGUGGUGGCACAUGCCUGUUGCCCCAGCUACUUGAGAGGCUGAGGUGGGAAGAUGGCUGGAGUCCUGAAGUUUGAGGCUGCAGUGAGCUGAGAUCAUGCCACAGCACUCCAGCCUGGGCGCCAGAAAUAAAGAAAAGAAAAACAAUUUAUAAAACGUUUCCUUUUCAGAGCAUGUUCCCUCGAUUCCCUGUGGAUCGAUGGGGAUCUUGGAAUUAAUUUUUGUGACCAAGCUGGGAUGGACUUUGCCCAGAGCCUUAGUCUGCUCAGACUUUAAUGGAUCCCAGCUCUGUGGCCCCAGGGGUAAGAGGCCUCAGUGGACAGAGACUGGAUUGCUGGACAGAUUUACUCAAGAAUGGGGAGGGAGCGUAAGAGUUUAAAGCAGAAAUGUGUGGGCCUGGAGUCCCGGAUGCUCACAAAAAGGAAACUGUGAUAGAGAAGAGGAGGGAGAAAGCCACUCAAAUACGUUCUAACACAUGCAAAUCGUGAUUCAUGCAAAUGUUGCUCCUGUAUAACAUGCUGGCCUUCGACGAGGCUAACCAACCACGGAGACUUAUUUCCUGGCUGAUCACAGAAAAAUAUGAUAUUUCUAAUGAAAUAUAGUUGGAAUCUCUCUACCUGAUUUGUAAGCUGCAGGUUGGCCUAACUCAGCUUCCAAGGAACACACUCAUAAUACUUUCUUCAUGGUUUUCCUUCCUUCCUUUCCUGUCAUAUUUAAUGACAAAACACGAAGUCAGAGUACACCAAGAGUUUUGUCACUAUGAACCUAUCUACCUGUUACCUGUCAAAACAUCAGGGAAGAAAUCACUUUUUCUCUGAAAGAAACCAGGAUUUUAUGAGAAACUAAAGUUCAGAAUAUAGAGUUGUUAUUUAUAUUAAAUGGCUGCAGAUAAUAAAUGCUAGCUAUGUUCUUGGGCUUUUUUUUCUCUUUUGAAAAAUAAAAGUUGUAUAUCUGAGAUGCAUGUCAAUUUUAAGCUUUUUAGGGCAAACAAGCAAGCUUAUUUUUCAAUAGGAAGCCAAAAGUCCACAUCACAAGAUAAAAGACAUAGUCUUCCUGAGUCCACAUCAUAAGAGACACAGUCUUCUUUUGAGCUGAGCUAAAAUGCAGAUUCUGCUCUGCAUUGUGCAAAGAAAGUGGGACAAUCGUGGCACCAUGGAAAAAUUUCUGUUUUUCAGAGAUACCAGAAAGGUAUGAAGAACUGCCUGGAACUGUGUGUUGAGGAACUAGAGCUCCUGUGCAGAUGAUUCAUUGUACCCAUAAGGGUUGCUUGGAGAUGUCGGUGGACCAGUCAGAAUGGAGUCUUGAAGGCUUUAUUCUAGACAACCACAUUGUCACUUUGGUGUCAGUAAUGUUAGGAUGGACAAUGCCAUCCAGCUAGGAAAAGAGAGCCUGGAUAAAACGAUGUGUGAACCUUGCAGGGAAGAGGUGCCAUUGGGCUUCAUGAAGACCAAGAAAGUUCUCAGCUUGGUGAACUGUGUUUGGAGAUAAUGUUGUUAUAAGAACAACUAUCCAACGCAGCCAGACAUGAAGAUGUGGUAGUCAGUGCCCACAUAACAAUUGCCAGCGUUUCAUCAUUAAUUCAUCCAUCCUGAGGAAAUUUUCCUGUGUCAGCCAGUGGUGGGAGGCAUGAAGAGGGCAAGAGUGCUCAGUGUUGGAGAGAUGUAUAUUCAAAAUCAGAAAGAAAAUUAAGUUUCUGAAUUCAGGGAGGCUUUGUCUUAAUACUGAAGACCAACUUAUGUGCAUGUCCAUAUACUCACUCUACCUUGUGGACUGAAAGGAAGAGAGGGCAGCAAUUAUACCAAUAAAAAGAGAAGACUUUUAUUGACUGUGUGUUAUCAGUGCAGGAGAAAAAAAAUGUCAUUUUCCUUUAUAGAAACGCAAAUACUAGCGGAAUGGUAAAAUGUCUGCAGAGAGUGGAAAAGGUAUUUUUAUAUCCCAUUUAUUAUUUUUUUUAAAAAGCUGGCAAUAACCCAUUUUAUUUGUUGAGAUGCAGUGUUAGCAACUUAAGACCUGGGAAAAUCUCACUUAAUAGAGCAGGGCAGCAGUGGCAUCCUCAUAGAAAACUGUCAGGGAGAGAACUAUUCACCAGAGGUAUAUUGUGUCUUAAUUAAAAAAAUCAAGUAGGAUUUUUCAAUGUAUUGAGCCACUGGACAUUCAAAGGCAGCAAAAACAAACAAACAAAGACGAAUGCUGACCUAAAUGUCACACUGUGUACAAAAAUUAACUCAGAAUGUAUCAUUGUAUAAAGCAAUAUAAUUUUAAAAGGAAAUGCAGAAAAUCUUUGGGACCUAAGACUUGGUGAACAUUUAUUAAACAUGACAUUGAAGCAGGAUUCACAAAAGAAGAAGAAAUACAUUGGACUCCAUCAAAUAUAAAAAUGUUUGCUCUAUGUAAGGAACCAUUAAGAAGAUGAAAAAACAGGCUGGGCGCGGUGGCUCAUGCCUGUAAUCUCAGCCCUUUGGGAGGCCGAGGCUGGUAGGUCACGAGGUCAAGAGAUCAAGACCAUCCUGCCCAACAUGGUGAAACUCCAUCUCUACAAAAAUAGAGAAAUUAUCUGGGCAUGGUGGUGCACACCUAUAGUCCCAGCUGAGGAGGAGGGAGGUAGGAGAAUUGCUUUAACCCAGGAGGCGGAGGUUGCGAUGAGCCGAGAUCGCGCCACUCCACUCCAGCCUGGGGACAGAGUGAGACUCUGUCUCACCAAAAAAAAAGGAAAAAUAACCAAUACACUGGGAUAAAAUAUUAGCAAACCACAUGUCUGAAAGUUGAUGGUAAAAAGCCAGUGUAAGUAGAAAAUGGGCAAAGUAUAAGAAAAGACAUUUUAUUGAACAAUAUGGAUGAAAAAUAAGUAUAUAAAACUAUGUUCAACAUCGCACGCCAUUAGUACAAUCCAAAUUAAGACCAAUAUGAGAUGAAAAAUAAAACAUCUAUUAUAAUAAUGAAAAAAUAAAAUACCAAAUGCUUGGUGAGAAUGUUGGAAAACUGGAUCUCUUGCACCUUGUUGGUGGAAAUGUAAAAUGCUAUGGUCACUCUGGAAAAUAGUUUGACGAUUUCACAAAAAUUUUAAUGUGCUCACCACGCAAACCAGCAGUUGAACCCCUGGAUAUUUGUCACAGAGAUAGUUUAUAUCUACACCAAAAAAAAAAAAAAAACUACCAUGAAUGUUCAUAGCAGCUUUAUUUAUCACAGCCAAAAUCUAAAAGCAAGUCCUUCAAUAGGCCAAUGGCUAAAUCUCAUGUGAUACUACUCAGCAAUGAAAAGAAAUGGACUAUGGACAGACACGGCAACUAUAUAUCUCAAGGGCAUCAUGCUGAGUGGAAAAAAAGCCACUCCCAAAAUGCCAUACAUGAUUCCAUGUAUAUACAAUUUUUAAAAUGACAAAUUUGUGGAGCUGGGGAACAGAAUCUACACGCAAUAAAAUGGCAUAGCACAGUGUACAGACACUGUAUCAAUCCCAGUUUCCUGCCGUUGAUACUAUUCUAUA
rnacentral:lncRNA from 1 species